AUUACUAAAUGGGUAUUUUUUUUCUCAAUUUUGAUGGGUCAGUUAAAAUAGCUGGAAGUUUCUUAUUUUACACAUAUAGUGCAACUAGAUUAUAUGAUACCUGAAUGUAAGCAAAUUAUAUGUAUGUGGAGUCCUUUGGGGCACUCUACCCCCUCCUGUUUGAUAACUUUGAAACGGAUGAGAUCCCCACCUCUCAACCAUAUACAUUCAUGUAUGGGACUAUAUAACUAAUCAAAUGAAAUAUAGGUGAAGUCCCUAGGGUCACCCACCACCUCCUGCUUCAGAACUUGGAAACAGUCGAGAUCCUCACCCCUCAACCAUAUUUAUUCAUGUAUGGGACAAUAUAACCAAUCAAAUGAAAUACAGGGGGAGUCCCUGGGGUCACCCCACCACUCCUGUUUGGGAACUUUGAAACAGUCGAGAUCCCCACCCCUAAACCAUAUAUAUUCAUGUAUGGGACAAUAUAAUAAAUCAAAUGAAAUAUAGGGGGAGUCCCUGUGGGUCAUCCCACCCCUCCUGUUUGAGAACUUGGAAACGGUCGAGAUCCCCACCCCUAAACCAUAUAUAUUCAUGUAUGGGACAAUAUAACAAAUCAUAUGAAAUAUAGGUGGAGUUCGUGGGGCCACUCUACCCCUUCCUGUUUGAGAAUUUGAAAACGGUUGAGAUCCCCUCCAUAAACCAUAUAUAUUCAUGUAUUGGACAAUAUAACAAAUCAAAUGAAUUAUAGGGGGAGUCCCUAGGGUCACUGCACCCUCAUGUUUGAGAACUUGGAAACAGUCGAGAUCCUCACCACGUAACCAUAUAUACUCAUGUAUGGGACUAAAUAACAAAUCAAAUAAAAUAUAGGGGAAGUCCCUGCGGUCACCCCACCCCUCCUGUUGUUUGAGAACUUGGAAACAGUCGCGAUCCUAACCUUAAAUUAAACCAUAUAUUUUCAUGUAUGGGACAAAAGAACAAAUCAAAUGAAAUAUAGGGAGAGUCCUAAGGGUCACCCUACCCAAUCCUGUUUGAUAACUUGGAAACAGAUGAGAUCCCCACCCUCAACCAUAUAUAUUCAUGUAUUGGACAAUAUAACAAAUCAAAUGAAAUAUAGGGGAAGUCACUGGGGUCCCCCACCCCUAAACCAUAUAUAUUCAUGUAUGGGACAAUAUAAAAAAAUCAAAUGAAAAAUAGGGGUAGUCCCUAGGGUCACUCACACCCUCUUGUGUGUGUUUUGAGAACUUGUAAAAGAUUGAGAUACCAACUCCUAAACCAUAUUCAUUCCUGUUUGUCAUUUCAAAAAGAUUGAAUGACAUACAAGGUCAAUCUCAUAGGCGUCACAUAUGCAUAUCACUUUGCUAGACCUAACACCUGUCAUUUUAUUCCAAACUUAGAACAUCAUGGACUUGGGUUGAAGGUGGGAGUCAUUUACAUUUACUAUGGACAGGUCAGUCAGACCUCACUAUUGAUCCCUGUAGUAGUAAACAUUUGUCUGAUUUGUGUCUCAUAACUUUUGUACUGUAGAACACAAACUCAGUUUUCUUUCCAGGGAAGCAAGUCCAUUCAUACUUUUACAAGCUCGUACUAAAGUCAACUUGAAAUACUAACAGUCAACUAAUACGAACAAUUACGAUCAACUAGAAGAACUGCAAUCAUUGCGAAUUUGUACCACUGCUGACUCAAGACUCAUGACCAUGAAAAAAAAAUAUACUUGAUAUAUAUACGUUGCUAUUGAAAACCUUGAUAAAAUAUGAAUUAUUUGCCUUAAUGAUUAAUUCAUUAAAUGAACAUAAAUGUACAAUUAUAUAUGAAUGUUUAAUGUUUGUUCUUUUAAAUCUUUAAAAAAAA
rnacentral:lncRNA from 1 species